rnacentral:tRNA from 1 species
GUUUUAAUAAUUUAAAAAAAAUACUGGUCUUGUAAACCAACAUUAAGUUAUAUCUUUUAAAACA